AGAACUGGAAGUGUGUUUUAACCUGGGCAAUUCAGCAGUGAAACAGCUGUUUGGUCUCCUGGAGAAUCCACAGUGUGCUCUGGAGACUCUGAGGCUGGAAUAAGGUGUCACCCUUACAAGGUUCACUCACAUAUGAUCCCUGCAGCCGAG